CCCUCCACCUCCAGCAACGAAUUCAUCACCACCACCACCAGAGACCUCAACAACUCCUUCACCUCUAACAAGACAAACCACAUCUGAACCUCUUCCAGCAGCUCCUUCUCUGUGGCCGUCUGUUCGUAUGGGGAUUGGGAUACUCUACUUAAUCAUCAUGACCAGCAUCACUGUCACUACCUGGAGAAAAGCUCAACAGAAACUGAAGCGACACACAGCGGCAACAAAAAAUGAUCUGUGAUCCUUAUAAAAAUAAACACAAACAUUUUCAACACUG